UCCGGAGAUCAACUGAUGACAUUUGUUCACUAAAUUAAUACAUCCACUCAAGAUUGCUUUUGAGGCCCCCCUUUUCAGUAAAAUUAAAGGUCAAAAGUUGGUGAAAUUGUCACGGGGUUCAUGAUUGGGUGGAGCCUUCUUCUCUCUGAGGCAUGCAGGGGUAUCAGUAACCCCAAUGUUUCACCACACAAUCUUUUUAAAAGCACUCUGAAAACAAACACACAGGAUGGACUGCCAUCACCAGGACUCACACUACAGCGCCAAGUCUCUGGACGGAGCAGGGAAAAUGGGAUUUCGAGGAUGUCAAGACCUGGAUUAGUUGUACCAUGAGGGAGUCAUGAGAAGAUUUUAGUAAUAGAGGACCAGCCAUCCCUCCCCUUUCCACCGUCUUUUACUUCCCAGAGUCUGACAUAUGGGUAAUCUCAGUACAGAACAACUACGUGGCUCCAAACGGUAUUUGAACACUUAAGGCACAAAUAAAUGUAUGAAUGUUCUUGCAUUAGAUAAUAAAAUGAUCCAAAGCUUCAUCGACAAGCAAAUUAUUCUGGAGUAUUGCUUCACUUUUCUUAGCCAUUUUUGCAAUUGCUUCUACUAAUUCUAGUAAUCAAUUGCAGAGGUAAGCUCUCCUACCAAAGUGAAAUGUUUUGCUUGUGUGCUUGUACUAUCUUUCUUUAAACAAAUGCCAUUUGGUUUGAUAUUUUGUUAUGUAAUGCGACUAUAUUCAUGCAUUAUAAGUGGCUUAAGUGUCCACCUUUUUUUUUUGUUUUCCGUGGCCACUGCUCAUCAUACAAACAACAAAGAAUAAUUGAUCAUGUUUUAAUGUUCCAGUAGGUGCCAUUCUGUAUGUGAGAAAGGCACAGAGAGAGGUGUUUGUUUAUUGUGUUUAUUGUUGUGGUGUGGUUAUGUGGGGUGGCUUAACCAUUUGAAAGAACAGCACUGUUAACUCAACACCAUUAUAAUGGUUGUGAUUAAUCAGAGCCGUGCUGGCGCUUUAUACUCUAAACUAUCAUUCUCUCACCAGAUGGCUCUCUGCAUUUGUUAAGAAACUCAAUCUUUUGUAGUGGAGGGUUUUUCUUAAUGUGUAUCUUGCCUGACCCCUUAAAUCCUGGUUUAUCUUGAUCUAUUUGACUCUGAAUGUCACCCAACAUGCCAACCCUGAGUUCAUCUCAAGUUGCAGGAGACUGCUGAUCUCCAGUGAUGGAUGUUUAAUUGAAGACAACAGGGGCACCUAGCUUCCUCAAGAUUACCAAUUCCAGCCCCAAAAAAGUGUAAGCUAAACUGCUGUAGUGUAAAUGUGUUUGUAGCCCCUGUUGCAACGCAUGCUGUUAUGGUAUUAUUGAUCUGUGACAGAUAUUUUGUUCCAACAAUGUUCCAAAAAUGUUCCAACAGCUCAGCCAACUGAAAGACCACAUGAACUCAAAAUUGGAGAUUUGUGGCUUUUAGUUUAUGUCUGUCAGAUUUGAGGUCAUCUGUAUGCUUGUGUACUCAAAGUUGCUCACAUUAUCUUUCAACAGAUAUAGAGCCCAUUUAUAAUGUAGAGUGACUAUUUCCAUGUACAGUAUUACUCUUCUGGGAAAACAGACAUAAAAUAUUGAAUACACAUCAGAAUUAAAAACAUUACUGCCCUAUAAACUGCUCUCUAGAAUGAAAGGACCCUCCUCUAAAACACCUACUUCUGACUAGCAAUAGUGAGUAGCAAAUCAUGGUUCAUGGCUGAGACAUCAACUAAAGGCAAUUGGCCAUUAAAAAAGGGAUGAGUCAAUUUCCUGUUUCAAUAGUUCAACAGUGCCCACACAAUUUUUUAAACCAUCUUGGUUCCUGAAGUAUUUUUCUCCUAAAUUUUUUCCAUAGGGAUUUCAUAAGAUUUAAAUAAAAAAAUUAAACCAUAAACCAAACCAACCCACUCAGAGCUGAAUCACAAUAUUACAGACUUUGAUUUAAGGCAAAAAGUAUUUUUCAAAUCGGACAAAAACGUUUUCAUGAGUACAUGAACUACACUACCAUGAAGCACUGCAAAUUAUGUAAUUUAAUUAAAAACAAUUGUAAUUAUGCAUUGCAAUAUUCUUUAAAGAUAUAUACGAAUAUAAGUAGUUUGAGAGUGUAGGGAGUUCAACACGAUUGCAUCAUUUACAGUGCAUCAUGGAAGUGGUCGCUCGCUGAAGGGCUCUUUUCGUGUGAUUGUUUGCUGUGAUUCUCUGAUUAGUAGAUCUUUCUCAGCAGGAUCAUGAGUAAUGUAGUUAUUGACCACAAAUUCCACUGUAAAACAUAAUUUUUGGAUUUGAUGAUAAAUGCGGACUGAGUUCGGAGUGUUCAAAAAAGUAUUUUGAACGUUUUUUUAUUUUUAUAGAAUUCCAUUUGGCAGACCUGGUGGUGCAUAAAUUGCACACUUCAGCAUUUAAGGUGUAUGAGUUAUAGUUACUAAUCAAUUCCCCUUUGGAAUUGGAAUGGAAUUUUUACUUCCGGAAUCAAACAGUUGAACUAUAUUACAAAAUACAGAAAAAAAUGCCUGUCAAUCAAUUUCAUGAUGUCUGUAAAGAAAGAUUUUUUGAAAAUAUCCAAGGAUAUGGACAGCCCCUCUACAAUUGUUCUUGAGAGACAAAUAAAGCAAGUUUGAGGUGUGGGGCUGAGAGCUGUACAGCUGAAUGUGUGUAAAGGAUUCUGUAGUAAGUGUCUGUAAAAAUAAUAAUACUAUGGUGCUUUAACAAAAGCUAAACAAGCUGAAUAUAUUCUUAAUUUGAAUAAAGUCGAACACUAUGUUAUGUAUAUAUGUGUAUAUAUGUGUGUAUAUAUGUGUGUAUAUAUAUAUAUAUAUAAUAUCAAAUGGUGCUGCUGCUGUUUUUGUUAACUCGUGACAGAGAACCAGUAUGUGUAUUUGUUUGUUGUCGGCUGUAGAGAACAUUGGUUUGACAGGUUGAAAUGUAGUCCAGAAACAUGUUGCCUAGAAACUAAUAGAAUGAAUAACCCAAUAUGUAUGUUUGUCCUAGUAUAGGUAACCAUUGGCAACAGCAAAAUCUCUUGUCUUUUAUGUUAACAUACUCAUAUUAGAUUACUUUCUUUAAGAAGUAUGAGAAAAUGUAUCUGUCAAGGAUCUGCUAGAUGUGUUUUUUUGUAUUCAGACAUGA